CAACAUGGCGGACAUUGUACUAAAAAAAGCUUAUUUUUUAGGGAGGGUAAUUGAAAUGUGUUUAAACGUAUUGCUACUAUCAUUACAUUGUGCAAGAACUUUUCGUUGGUGCUUCUAAUGGAUACAAUGUAUAAAAAGUCUGUCUUUAAAACCCCUACUUCCGGUAAUAUUCAAAAUGGCGGACAUAGAAAUAUCAAUUCAUUAUUUAAAUAUUCAACUUUUUUUCAAAAUGUAAAGAAAAUGUUGUUUUUUGUGCUGGUCAUUAAUAUUUUGGCUUUAAGGGGGUAGACCUAGGUGAAGGGAGAUAACUCUUUAAAUCAUCAGUACGUUUGUAAAAGUCAAGUUCAUCAAUGUAUUUUAAGCAUUUACCUGAAACAGAUUGAAAAUAAUCUAUGUAACCUAGAAGCUUAGAAUAUAUUUUUAAAAAUGGUUGACACAAAUGUACUGAUGAUUUUAAGAGUUAUUUCCCUUAACCUAGGUCUACCUUCUUAA
rnacentral:lncRNA from 1 species